rnacentral:rRNA from 1 species
AGUGAACGCUGGCGGUAGGCCUAACACAUGCAAGUCGAACGGCAGCACAGUAAGAGCUUGCUCUUACGGGUGGCGAGUGGCGGACGGGUGAGGAAUACAUCGGAAUCUACUCUUUCGUGGGGGAUAACGUAGGGAAACUUACGCUAAUACCGCAUACGACCUACGGGUGAAAGCAGGGGAUCUUCGGACCUUGCGCGAUUGAAUGCGCCGAUGUGGGAUUAGAUAGUUGGCGGGGUAAAGGCCCACCAAGGCGGCGAUCCGUAGCUGGUCUGAGAGGAGGAUAGCCGACACGGGAAGUGGGACACGGUCCCGACUCCUACGAGAGGGAGCAGAGUGGAAUAUUGGACAAUGGUGGCAAGUCUGAUACAACGAUCCCGCGUGGGUUGAGGAGGCGUUCGGUGUGUAAAGCCCGUUUGUUGGGAAUGAAACGCAUCAGGUUGAGACCCCGCGGUUCUGACGGUACCCAAAGAAUAAGCACCGGCUAACUUCGUG